rnacentral:rRNA from 1 species
GUAGAAUUCCAGGUGUAGCGGUGAAAUGCGUAGAGAUCUGGAGGAAUACCGGUGGCGAAGGCGGCCCCCUGGACGAAGACUGACGCUCAGGUGCGAAAGCGUGGGGAGCAAACAGGAUUAGAUACCCUGGUAGUCCACGCCGUAAACGAUGUCGACUUGGAGGUUGUGCCCUUGAGGCGUGGCUUCCGGAGCUAACGCGUUAAGUCGACCGCCUGGGGAGUACGGCCGCAAGGUUAAAACUCAAAUGAAUUGACGGGGGCCCGCACAAGCGGUGGAGCAUGUGGUUUAAUUCGAUGCAACGCGAAGAACCUUACCUGGUCUUGACAUCCACGGAAGUUUUCAGAGAUGAGAAUGUGCCUUCGGGAAC